rnacentral:rRNA from 1 species
AUUGAACGCUGGCGGAAUGCUUUACACAUGCAAGUCGAGCGGCAGCGCGGCCUUCGGGCUGGCGGCGAGCGGCGAACGGGUGAGUAAUGCAUCGGAACAUGCCCAGUCGUGGGGGAUAACACUUCGAAAGAAGUGCUAAUACCGCAUACGUCCUGAGGGGGAAAGCGGGGGAUCGCAAGACCUCGCGCGAUUGGAGUGGCCGAUGCCAGAUUAGCUAGUUGGUGGGGUAAAGGCCUACCAAGGCGACGAUCUGUAGCUGGUCUGAGAGGAUGAUCAGCCACACUGGGACUGAGACACGGCCCAGACUCCUACGGGAGGCAGCAGUGGGGAAUUUUGGACAAUGGGGGCAACCCUGAUCCAGCCAUUCCGCGUGCGUGAAGAAGGCCUUCGGGUUGUAAAGCUCUUUCGGCAGGAACGAAACGGUGGGCUCUAACAUAGUCCGCUAAUGACGGUACCUGAAGAAGAAGCACCGGCUAACUACGUG